UACAGAGGGUGCGAGCGUUAAUCGGAAUUACUGGGCGUAAAGCGCGCGUAGGCGGCUUUGCAAGUCGGGUGUGAAAUCCCCAGGCUUAACCUGGGAACUGCAUUCGAGACUGCAUUGCUAGAGUAUGGGAGAGGGAAGUGGAAUUUCCGGUGUAGCGGUGAAAUGCGUAGAUAUCGGAAGGAACAUCAGUGGCGAAAGUGGCAUCCUGGACCAAUACUGACGCUGAGGAGCGAAAGCUAGGGGAGCAAACGGG
rnacentral:rRNA from 1 species